UGUACUAAGUGUGGUUGAGGAUAGAGGGGUGUUUUGUGGGUUUUUAAGGCUGAUAAUGAUUAUUAGUGAGACAUUUGGAGUAGAUAUUCAUUUGCAGUAAAUGAAAGUAUUUAAAAUCUUGGAUUUAAACUUAGAAGAACACAAACUCUAACAGAAAACUUUGUCGAUACGUUUUUGUUUUGUUUACAGAUGUUAAGUCUUUACUUCUGUUGUGAACUUUGGUAAGAAGCAGAAACUUUAGCGUUGCCAUGGAUACAUGAGUGUUAAAUUCUGUCCAUGUUUCCAUUUUGGGAAAUUCAGUCCAGCUGAUGAGUUUGGUUUUACUGCCAGCUACCAUUCAAUCUGAGAUAUUAAGAAUAAAUAAAUGUGCAUAAUGUGGAAAUGAACAGAUUUUAUUUUUAUUUAUUCCUACAACUGUUGCAGGUAACGUUCUAGAAUGUGGAGGAAUUUAGUCUCACAAUCACAGACAAUAAAUAUUAUCUGAAAGUCAGGUUAUUGUUGUUUAUCAGCACAAUACAAAAAGAUUAAUGUUAGAAAUAUUCCAGAUAAGACUCUAGAAUAUCAGGAUUUAUGGAAAUUUUCCUCAGUAAUAUGAAUGUUCAGGUUAAGAUUGUGCAGUGAUAUUAUGUAAGUUUAGCUGACUAAAGUUUAUGACUCUGCACUACAAUAUUAUUUAUUUAAAUUUACACCAUUAUUAUAAUAUUUAGGGUCAGACCCUACAGUAUUGAGAUUAAGAAAUAAACUAUUCUAUAAAAUGUAAAUACACUGAAUUCAUUUGGAUAUAUUUAAGUGAGACUCUACAAUAUUAUCUGACACAAAUCUAUCUAAAUCAAAAUUUUAAUUGUUUUUACUCUAAACAUUUACUGGACUGAUUUAAACAUUAAAAUCACUCCUUUCUAAUCCUCUGCUGUACGUUCAAACCUGAGGCCUUAAAUAGAGAAACACACAAGUAUCUGAUUGAAGGAACUUCUGCAGAGUCCUGGUUCCAGAACAUGAUGACAGAAUUAUAGACAAACUUUAACAAAAGCUGCCUGAGAGUUUACAGGUUUUUAUGUUAGAUUUCUUCAGUAAUUUAAUGAGUUAUCAGCAAAAAUCAAGUGUUCAUUUGAUGAACUUCAUUUCCUAAAACAUCCAGAAUUGGAGCUCAUAUCUUUGGCAGCUGUAAAGUUUCUGCUCCUUCAAAGUUCACAACACAAUGAAUGAAUUCCUAAAACACUCUCAAUGCUGGAGAGCGUUUGUGAUGCUGAAGCAGUGAGCAGUUUUUCUGUUUCUUCUCUGGAGAUGCACAAUGAGGGACGUCUGCAGCGACUGAGAAAGAGUCUCACCACAUCCUGACAUGAGGAAAAAGACUUUAUUGAAGACUACAGUGAGAAAAACUAUCAGACAGCAGACGGCUGCAUUCAAGUCUGUAGCUGCUGAAUUCAUGGAUGAAUCAUCUGCCACUAGAGAAGAAGACCAUCAAACAUCCAUGUCAGCUGAUGGAGGUCCAAGAGUCUCACCAAACAAACAACCUACAGAGUGAAGACCUCGAAUCUGAUUGGACGGCCUCCUAUUCAGCCACGUGUGAACAAAUGCCUCUAAGCUGAUUUGUUUUCUAAAAUAAAUCUAGUUUGAGUCCUAA